UUUUCUUCUUUUUCUCCUCGGUGGACAGCAGUCCACGACUGCUUGUUCUUCUUCUUUCUACUUCUCCUUCUCUGUUCUUCUUUUCUUCUUCGUUCUUUCUUCUUCUACCCGAGCAGCUGAGAGAGAAUGAGAGAGAGAUCGAGAGUUUGAGAGAGUGAUGCUAUCGGAGAGGGAGUGCGAACCGGAGAAACCCAGAGACCCGUAGCAGACCCGAGCCGAGACCCGUGAGCCCGUGAGGCCGGUAGAACCCGAUCGGCGUGCUGGGUCGUCGGAGGUCCGAUUUUCUAGCGAUUUCCGGUGGUUCUAGUGGAUUUUCGGCGAAGACCCAUUGAACCACGAAGACCCGUAGCCCAGAACUCCUCGAACCCGUGACCCGUGACCCACUGAACCCGAGAGGAGACCCGGUUCUCCAUGGACUUUUUCUGGUGAGUUUUUCGGCGGUCCAGUGAGCUGAUCUCCGGUGAGCCAGCGACCCGUAGACCCAGUGCAACCGCCGAUCCGUGAGACCCAGAAGAGAGAACCCGAGCAACCCGACCCAUGACCCGUUGAACCGUGUGGAAGACCCGGUUCCCCAGCAGUGAUUUCCGGCGACUUUUCCGGCCGAAUUAGUGGUGUUUUUCGGUGGAUUGGCUAUGAAAAUCCUUGGGAUCAAGUUAUAAUUGGAGACUUCAAUGGGUUCUCCAAUGUAGAGUCCAAGUGACUAGAGUCCAAGGAGUGUUCGGGUUGGAGUCCAAUGCAGCCAAGAUGAUGUUUCUUUGGCUGUAGGUACUACGGUAUAGUCGGUGGGUCGGUAGCAGUGUGCUUGGGAUAUUAUGACUGAAGCUCACCGCGACGGUUGUAAUUGUCAGACCACGGGUUGUCCACUAUUUUAUAGGUUUGGUAUGGCUUGUGACGUUUGUGUCACUUAUUCUUUGUUAAGCCAUUAUUGUUAUGUAAAUAUUGUGUAUAAGACUCAAACAGAUAGAUGUUAAAUGGCUCAAUGUUGUAAUUAAUUUGUGAUAGAUGUAUAAGUUAUAAUUUCCGCUAUUCAGAUUUAUGUUUUUCGCUGCAUAGAUAGAUAUAUGUUAUACUCUGAUUAUCAGGUACAUGUUAUGGGGCAUGUGCCAUAUGUUGGCUGAGCGACACAUAGUCGUGCCACUGUGAGGACUCGUUUUACGUUUUGUAUUAAAAAAAAAAAAAACGGGUCGUCACAGCAGCUGCUCCUCCAAAUCAUAGCAAUUCAUCUCCAUUCUCCCAUCUUCGACCACCCUACACCAUGCCUCCGGAAGCAAAUCCAAUACACGCAGGUCUAACUCUGAAACCCGCAGCCUAGGAUGCUUGACAAGAGAAACAGUUUUCCCCCGAACCACUUUCGCAAAGGAUGGAGAAACCCCAUCUAGACGACUAGACAAAACACCCCCCUUCUAUAUCCCCUCCGAUGUGGACGCCUAAAAAACUAGCAACUGAGCCUUUGAAAAAGUAAGCAUCUUUUGUAACUCGCCCACAACCCGAGACCAGA